rnacentral:rRNA from 1 species
UGAAGUCUUUUAUGACUGAGUGGCGGACGGGUGAGUAACGCGUGGGUAACCUGCCUCAUACAGGGGGAUAGCAGCUGGAAACGGCUGGUAAUACCGCAUAAGCGCACGGUAUCGCAUGAUACAGUGUGAAAAACUCCGGUGGUAUGAGAUGGACCCGCGUCUGAUUAGCUGGUUGGUGAGGUAACGGCCCACCAAGGCGACGAUCAGUAGCCGACCUGAGAGGGUGACCGGCCACAUUGGGACUGAGACACGGCCCAGACUCCUACGGGAGGCAGCAGUGGGGAAUAUUGCACAAUGGAGGAAACUCUGAUGCAGCGACGCCGCGUGAGUGAAGAAGUAGUUCGCUAUGUAAAGCUCUAUCAGCAGGGAAGAUAGUGACGGUACCUGACUAAGAAGCUCCGGCUAAAUACGUGCCAGCAGCCGCGGUAAUACGUAUGGAGCAAGCGUUAUCCGGAUUUACUGGGUGUAAAGGGAGUGUAGGUGGCCAGGCAAGUCAGAAGUGAAAGCCCGGGGCUCAACCCCGGGACUGCUUUUGAAACUGCAGGGCUAGAGUGCAGGAGGGGCAAGUGGAAUUCCUAGUGUAGCGGUGAAAUGCGUAGAUAUUAGGAGGAACACCAGUGGCGAAGGCGGCUUGCUGG